rnacentral:rRNA from 1 species
GACGAACGCUGGCGGCGUGCUUAACACAUGCAAGUCGAACGAGUGGCGGACGUGUGAGUCAUGCUUGGGAAUCUAGCUUAUGGAGGGGGCUAACUACGGGAAACUGUAGCUCAUACCGCGUCCCAUAGGAUGUGCCCAAGUGGGAUUAGGUAGUUGGUGAGGUAAAGGCUCACCAAGCCGACGAUCUCUAGCUGGUCUGAGAGGAUGACCAGCCAAAAGGGGACUGAGACACGGCACAGACUCCUACGGGAGGCAGCAGUGGGGAAGAUUGCGCAAUGGGGGCAACCUGACGCAGCCAUGCCGCGUGAAUGAAGAAGGCCUUCGGGUUGUAAAGUGCUUUCGGUAGCGAGGCGUUAACUACAGAAGAAGCACCGGCGAACUCCGUGCCAGCAGCCGCGGUAAUUC